rnacentral:rRNA from 3 species
AAAUUGAAGAGUUUGAUCAUGGCUCAGAUUGAACGCUGGCGGCAGGCCUAACACAUGCAAGUCGAACGGUAACAGGAAGCAGCUUGCUGUUUCGCUGACGAGUGGCGGACGGGUGAGUAAUGUCUGGGAAACUGCCUGAUGGAGGGGGAUAACUACUGGAAACGGUAGCUAAUACCGCAUAACGUCGCAAGACCAAAGAGGGGGACCUUCGGGCCUCUUGCCAUCGGAUGUGCCCAGAUGGGAUUAGCUUGUUGGUGGGGUAACGGCUCACCAAGGCGACGAUCCCUAGCUGGUCUGAGAGGAUGACCAGCCACACUGGAACUGAGACACGGUCCAGACUCCUACGGGAGGCAGCAGUGGGGAAUAUUGCACAAUGGGCGCAAGCCUGAUGCAGCCAUGCCGCGUGUAUGAAGAAGGCCUUCGGGUUGUAAAGUACUUUCAGCGGGGAGGAAGGGAGUAAAGUUAAUACCUUUGCUCAUUGACGUUACCCGCAGAAGAAGCACCGGCUAACUCCGUGCCAGCAGCCGCGGUAAUACGGAGGGUGCAAGCGUUAAUCGGAAUUACUGGGCGUAAAGCGCACGCAGGCGGUUUGUUAAGUCAGAUGUGAAAUCCCCGGGCUCAACCUGGGAACUGCAUCUGAUACUGGCAAGCUUGAGUCUCGUAGAGGGGGGUAGAAUUCCAGGUGUAGCGGUGAAAUGCGUAGAGAUCUGGAGGAAUACCGGUGGCGAAGGCGGCCCCCUGGACGAAGACUGACGCUCAGGUGCGAAAGCGUGGGGAGCAAACAGGAUUAGAUACCCUGGUAGUCCACGCCGUAAACGAUGUCGACUUGGAGGUUGUGCCCUUGAGGCGUGGCUUCCGGAGCUAACGCGUUAAGUCGACCGCCUGGGGAGUACGGCCGCAAGGUUAAAACUCAAAUGAAUUGACGGGGGCCCGCACAAGCGGUGGAGCAUGUGGUUUAAUUCGAUGCAACGCGAAGAACCUUACCUGGUCUUGACAUCCACAGAACUUUCCAGAGAUGGAUUGGUGCCUUCGGGAGCUGUGAGACAGGUGCUGCAUGGCUGUCGUCAGCUCGUGUUGUGAAAUGUUGGGUUAAGUCCCGCAACGAGCGCAACCCUUAUCCUUUGUUGCCAGCGGUCCGGCCGGGAACUCAAAGGAGACUGCCAGUGAUAAACUGGAGGAAGGUGGGGAUGACGUCAAGUCAUCAUGGCCCUUACGACCAGGGCUACACACGUGCUACAAUGGCGCAUACAAAGAGAAGCGACCUCGCGAGAGCAAGCGGACCUCAUAAAGUGCGUCGUAGUCCGGAUUGGAGUCUGCAACUCGACUCCAUGAAGUCGGAAUCGCUAGUAAUCGUGGAUCAGAAUGCCACGGUGAAUACGUUCCCGGGCCUUGUACACACCGCCCGUCACACCAUGGGAGUGGGUUGCAAAAGAAGUAGGUAGCUUAACCUUCGGGAGGGCGCUUACCACUUUGUGAUUCAUGACUGGGGUGAAGUCGUAACAAGGUAACCGUAGGGGAACCUGCGGUUGGAUCACCUCCUUA